rfam:Mesocricetus auratus contig213431, whole genome shotgun sequence.
GCUCAGCUAGCUCAGUUGGUAGAGCAUGAGACUCUUAAUCUCAAGGUCAUGUGUUCUUGCCCCACAUUGGGCG